GCGCCCUCGCCCGCCAGGCUCUCCGCCCGCCGCCCGCGCCCGGCCCCGGCGCCCCGGCCCGCCGCCCGCGCUUCAUGGCUGCGCACGAAUGGGACUGGUUCCAGCGCGAGGAGCUCAUCGGGCAGAUCAGCGACAUCCGCGUCCAGAACCUGCAAGUUGAGAGGGAAAAUGUGCAGAAGAGAACCUUUACUCGAUGGGUAAAUCUGCAUCUAGAGAAGUGCGACCCACCCCUAGAAGUUAAAGAUUUAUUCAUUGAUAUCCAAGAUGGCAAAAUCCUAAUGGCUUUGUUAGAAGUCCUGUCUGGGCGGAAUCUGCUGCAUGAGUACAAGUCCUCAUCCCAUCGUAUUUUCCGGUUGAACAACAUAGCAAAAGCACUUAAGUUUUUGGAAGAUAGCAAUGUAAAACUGGUUAGCAUCGACGCAGCGGAAAUAGCAGACGGCAACCCCUCUUUGGUUCUUGGGCUGAUAUGGAACAUAAUUCUCUUCUUCCAGAUUAAGGAGCUCACGGGCAAUCUCAGCAGAAACUCGCCAUCUUCCAGCCUGUCACCUGGCUCGGGGGGCACAGACUCAGACUCUUCCUUCCCACCCACGCCCACCGCGGAGAGGAGUGUGGCGAUAUCUGUGAAAGAUCAGAGGAAGGCUAUCAGGACCCUGCUGGCGUGGGUGCAGAGGAAGACGAGGAAGUAUGGCGUGGCGGUGCAGGACUUCGCGGGCAGCUGGAGAAGCGGGAUGGCUUUCCUGGCCGUGAUCAAGGCCAUCGACCCCAGCCUGGUUGACAUGAAGCAGGCUCUGGAAGACUCCAUGCGGGAAAACCUGGAGAAGGCCUUCCGCGUGGCGCACGAGGCCCUUCACAUUCCCAGGCUCCUGGAGCCAGAAGACAUCAUGGUUGACACGCCAGACGAGCAGUCCAUCGUGACUUACGUGGCACAGUUUCUGGAACAUUUCCCGGAGUUGGAAGCUGAGGAUCUCGUGGAUUCGGAUAAAGAAGCCCCUAUUGAAUCCACCUUUGUCCACAUCAAAGAAACCCCUUCUGAACAGGAGAGCACCGUCUUCCUUCUGACGGAGAAUGGGGAGCGAGCUUACACCGUCAACCACGAAGCCAGCCACCCGCCGCCCUCCAAAGUAUUUGUCUGUGACAAGUCUGAGAGCGCGAAAGAAUGCUACCUGAGUGUCAUGCCCAGCCAGGCGCUCUCAGACAGCUCCACUGACUUCAUGCACCAGAUCAUCGACCAGGCCCUCCAAGAGGUCCCGGGGAAGGCCAGCAGCACUGGUGAGCCAUCUCCGGAAUCUUCCAUUUUAUCCUCCAGAAAGGACAACCGGAGGUCCAACUCUUUGCCAAUCAAGAAGACCGUGCACUUUGAGGCUGACACCUACAAGGAGGCUUCCUGCAGUAAAGACCCUUUCUACAGUCAAGACCUUCGCUUUGAGGGGAGCCCGAGAGGGACAAAGGACUCGCUGAAGCAGGAUGGGGACGUCCUGGCAGCUGAGAUUGCCGAGGAAAAGCCGAAGCAGGAAGCCCCGAAGAUUCCGGAAGCGGCCUCUGAUGAGUCACCGGGGGUCGAGUCUUUGGUGGACAGGAAGAUCAAUCAUUCGCAGACUUCGGAGAGUUGUCCCUCCUGGAACGGGGCGCCAGAGGGUGCGGCCGGUGGGGGGAAGGAGAGCCGUCCCCUUUCACCCCUCGGGGACAACGCGGUUAUGGCCGAUUCCUUGGAGAUCAAGGUCCAGCUGCUGACCGUAGAAGCUAUGGCUGAGGAAGACUAUUUUGAAAGCACACCUUUAAAAGCCUCUAAGUUCAACAGUGACCUAAUAGAUUUUGCCUCAACCAGCCAGGCCUUCAAUGAGGUUCCUCCGCCUCGUGAGAAAAGACCUGUCGGGGAAGAGGUUCCGGAGGAUCACGCUGAGAAGUUGGGAAAGAGGAGAAGCAAAUCUGCGCACCAGCGCAAAGACUCGGACGAGUCCCCAGAGAGGCCGGACAAGCAGGAACCCCACAAGGACCCUGGGCGAGAGGACCCAGGCUAUUCUUUGGCCCCCGAGGAGGCACCGGUGGAAAAAAAGCCAGAGGCGUACGAGAAGCCCAAGCGCAAGUCCGCGCGGCGCCGUCGGGGCGAGGACGAGGGGGAGGCCGCGGGGCCGCAGGGGCCGGACGGCGAGCUGCCCUCCGACCCUCCGAGUGGCAGCCUCAGCCUGGAGACCCUGCACAGCCACAGCCAGGAAGGCCUGGACUUCAAGCCCUCCCCGCCGCUGUCCAAGGUCUCCGUCAUUCCCCACGACCUUUUCUACUACCCGCACUACGAGGUGCCCCUGGCAGCGGUUCUGGAGGCUUAUGCGGAAGGCUCGGAGGACCUGAAACACCAAGACCUGGAUCCGGAGGAGCCGGAGGACUAUCUGCAUGACCUGGGGGCCGGGGCCGGGGCCGAGGCCGAGGAGGCCGAGGAGGCCGAGGUCUCUUGGAACAGCUGUAGCUCCUCGGGGCCGGGCGAGGAGGGCCCUGAGGCCAGCAUCCCGGCCCCGAGUACCGACGGGGGUGCAGAGGGCACCAGACCAGCCUCGGAGCCCGCACCCCCAGCCCCUCCAGAAGGCCACCAGCCAGGGGAGGCCGAAGAGGGCGGCCCUGUGGAGAGCCAUCAGUCCCAGGGAUCUGAAAACUCGGGAAACUUAGCAAACUCUUUAGAAGAAAAGGUAACGGGAGAGUCAAUCAGCAGUAAAAAAAAGGAAAAAAGGAAGCACGUGGACCACGUAGAAAGUUCAAUAUUUAUAGCACCCGGCACCGUCCGAUCCUCAGAGGACCUAGAAGGAGACACGGGUGACCACAAAGUCCUCUCCAGGACUAGUCACAGUGACUCCAGCAUUUACAUUCGACGACAUACUAACAGGUCUUUGGAAUCGGACCACUUUAGCUAUGUUCGGUUGAGGAACGCGGCAGAUCAGGAUGACAGAAGGAACCGAAUGUUAACCAGGUACAAUACUCAGAAGCUCACUGAGCUGAUAUUACAGUUUUAUGGCAUCAGAGCAGAUAUGAAGAAGGAGUGCAAACAUACCAGGAUGUCUAUGAAAGAAGGCCAACGACUCUGGCGAAGCCGUGUUGCAGGAGAGCCAGAGCUCACAGAGCGACUCUCUGACCCAGUUUGUCCAGCAGCCGGAUAUGAUGUAUUUUAUUCUCUUCCUCUGGCUCCUGGUUUACUGCCUACUGCUGUUCCCACAGCUGGACGUCACCAGACUCUGAUGCGUGUGUCUGCAUAAUAAAAAAAGGCUCCUGACCGGGGGGCAGGAGUCUUGUCACUUCCCUUUUAUUGGGGUUUGAAUGGGCCACUCUGCAGACAGCCGAGGGCCUCCAAGGAAACAGCGUCCCUCUCCCUGCUGUCUCCAUGGGUUCCCUUCUCUCCUGCAAGUCCUAAGCACGCUUUUCUCUUCCGCCGUGUCCUCAAAACUCAGGUGUCUGUCUGGCUGGAGUCCCUAAGCGGAGCGUGUUCCUGCGUGCCUUGCUUUGGCAGGACUCAGAACAUUGCGACGCCAGUCUCUCAAACACACAUCCGAGUAAACAAGAAUGUGUCUUACCGAAUAUCACAAAUCACCAAAGCUUCUUCGGUAAGAACUAUUCUCCUUCCGUGGUUAUGUCGCUUUCCGAGCCUCUUCCUGUCUCUUUCCGAGUGCAGUCACGCAACGGGACUCGAGGGCCCGCCGGAGCUUUGAGAUGUGGCCUCUCUGCCUCUCUUCUUAGAGACCUUCCUCCGGGGUCUCUGCCAAAUUACCCAGCUGUACUCAGCUUUGCGUCCUGAACCCCCCCGAGUGGGCUGCAUGGGAAUCCCAAGCCGGCGUGGCUUCUCAGAACCUUCUCGGCGAUGCUCUUGCUGGGAAGCAAACACCUAGAGCCCUCCAGGUCCAGAUGUGCUCUUUCUCUCUCGCUGACGUUGCAUAAUCUCGGCUAAAACGGCCUUUGGGGGAAGAUUUAACAUGUUGGGCCCGCAGCUGUCCCAGGGACCCCCCCACCGCCACCCCCCAAAUAGCAGGUUACACCUCUGGCCCUUGCAGCUGGUGAGCGGGGCUGCUCCCAGGACACAGUCCAGGACCCGGGGCGAGACGCUGAAGGCUGAGAGCCGGCAUGAAUGAGAUCAUGCUUCUUUGCCGAAAAUUGCCACAGAGUUUGCCUGAACAGUUAGCCAGGGUGAGGGAGCCAUGAAAGGAGACAUAGCUUCUCUGCCGGACGGGGAGUCCACAGAUCUUUCGACCCCACCUCUCAUCAGGCAUUUCCUUGCGGAAGGACGGCAGUUUAGGCAAGUUUAGGGAGCCUGGUGCCCGAGAAGCAUGUCUUUGGGGUGAAUUGUGCCCCGGAUCUAACAUUUCUGUCUUGUGUAGACCCCGCGUGUUUAGGCUCGGGCUUGGGGUGAGUUUGGCCGAGUAAUUGGGCGAUUCCCGGGUACUUGGGAUCUCCGGCUUCUCCGAGAGCCAGCAGAGGACCACGGGGGUUCCUGUGCACCCCGGCCUAUCCUAGCAUCUGCAGGACCACCCCCCCUUCCCCCUGCCUUCCCGCCCCGCUCCGCAGAGCCUGGAGGCCGACUUGUUUGUGUUUACAAUGUGUUCGGAGAACCUUGAGGAAAACACAUCAAGCAAGCAGUUCUCGCUGGCCGAGGGCCGUCCCAUCCACAAGCCAGGAAGACAACUAUUUAUCUUGUGCUGUUUGACCACGCUGUUCUUAAAUGCGACCACAACUCAACCCUCCGUGGGCCGAUCCCGCGGCUAACCUUUUAAAUUGCCGACGCCUUAGGUUUCAUCCCGCAGGGGUCUGUCCAGCUGAAACCAUUUUCCUUAAAUCGUCACUCCGUUCGUCCUCUUCCUCCGGGAGGUACUGUGGGAUGGGGAAAGCGCAGGUUUGGGAAUCAGCCAGAUCUAGGUUGGAGUCCCCGCUCGGUCACCUGGUAUGGGCAUGACCAUUAAGCCCUCUGGGCGUCUUCUGUGCGGAGUGGCCCCCACGUGCACACUGGUUGAAUGAAGAGUGCUUCCCUGCAAAUCUGCCGCGAGGCUGGGAAGGGUCCAGUAGCUCCUUGCUGUGCAUCGCCUUCCUCUCCAAGCUUUGCAGACGCCCUCUUUCCUUAACGUUCCAUUGACCGGAGCUGCUUUGCAGUCUCUCCCGUCCGCCUUGCUCCCGCCUGCUGCUCUGUCUCCACUCUAACCCGAGCCUUUUAAAGAGGAAGUUGCAACCACCGUAUGCCCAUUACUCCCCGGACCCUCAGCACAACCAUGGGAGGUCAGUUCAGAGAUGAAGCUAACGCCUAGGGAGGGGGAAAAAAAAAAAAAAAAAAAAAAAAAAACAAGGUCACAGAACCAGGAACAUAGGACUCUUGUUUGCAAACCCUGAUUUUCGCCCCGGGCUUCACUGCUUAGAAAAUAAAGUUCUACCCUGACGAGGUUCUGAUUCUCCAUGACUUUGGCCUAGUUGGCAACUGUGGGUGGAGGUUCCCAGAGUCGGGAAGGUGGGGAACUGGGUUAGCCCCAUUGUCAUUCCCCACCGUGCGUCCUUCUUCCCCCUCUCAAGUCGCUGCACUUAACUCCCAAGCCCAUAUCAGAGCCGCUGAAGUGUCCCCUUCAUGCUUGCAUAAAAAUGACUGCAGAUGCCCCAAGUUCGUGUUUUAGCCUGGGGUGGCAAAUUUGCAGCCAAACUCAUGGCCUCUCAAGAACCUCUAGCAGUAAAAUCUCAGCGUCUAACCUCACAAACUUCAGCGACCCGUUACCUCUGCAUCCUGCCCCAGCUAAUCACCUCUCCACCUGCCAACACAUGCUUUUCAGAGCAGGAAAUUAGGCUCUCUCCUUCCAAAAACAAAUACAUUUCACGGUGCUGGGCAGAGCACAGUUAAAGUGGGGUUGCAGGAGUCAGAGAACUUGGACGAAGUCAUAAUUCGUGGGUCCGUGACCUAGAAAUACUUAUUUUGCCUUGAAGUUUUAAAAGUUGUGAUUUUUGUAUUAUUGCAAAAAUGGAAAUAUCUUUUUGGUUUAUUCCAUGCACAUCAGCGACCGCUUCCCUUAGCCCCACCUGAAGUCAAUGGAAUGUUCUCCGCAAGACGGUGCUAUGAGGGAGAACAGCCACAAAUGCCUGUGUUUCUAAAUGCCCCGCAAGGAUUGAAACGCUUCCUUAAAGGAAACUCUCUGUAACCCAGAGAGUUGACAUGGUUCCAAAGUAGGAACAUGUAGACAGUGGUCUGAGCAUCAGGAACCCACAUCCAGGCUGUGGCUCACCUGCUGUGACACCUUGAGUAAUUCAUUUACCUCUCUGGGUCAGAAGUUGGAAGAUCUGUUAGAAAGUCCUGCCGAAGUUUAAACAUCCAAAGGUUAGCAAGUUCGAUGGGGUUUUUUGUUUUGUUUUGUUUUUUAAGCUCAGUAAGUGACCUCUUUGCUUAAAAUAAAUGCAUCUCUGUAUUUUGUAAGUGAAAUCCAAAGCUUAGAACAUUGCUUCCGGCUUUAGUAUCUGAUAAAGGUGCCUUCAGGAAGGGUUUGGUAAAACAAAGCGUAGUCUGUUAGAGGUGUGGGGAUGAAAGUUGGGAGGAGGGUGGGGGAGACCUGCUUCCUAGGGCUCCCGGACCUGAACUGGUCUCCUUAACAUAGGUCCGCAUAGAAGGCGGUUUCCCGGGGAAAUCUGUUCCAAAUGUGAAAGUUCAGCAGUGGGAGCAAAGAGCUGUAAACUGGACCUUUCUUUCUGCACUUCCCAGCUUCCCCCCCUUUCCCUAGCAGACUCCAAACAGGUAGAGAAAUCUCAGUGGACUCCAGCUGUGUGCAUUCUAACAUGGGACCCCUGGAGCCAACGAGGGACACCUCCGGGUCGAAUGUCCCUGAGUCGGCGCCGUACCUGUGGGGUGGGGUGGGGGUGGAGGGAUUUUGUGCUUGAAAUUGCACCAUAAGAUAGUGCCUGCAUCACCUGCAUCGGAGCCAAAGACAAGUUGGAAAAAAUAGUUCUUCGCUACCAUAGUAUAUCGUUGGGGCAAAUUACUAAGCCUGGCCAUGGUGUCUUCAGAGCCUGUUUUAUUGGAUGGCGACAGGAGUUUAUUUCAAGGUCUGUAACACGUUUAACGGAUUCAAUGCUACCAUUUCUUUCAAUGUCACGGCAGAGCUUCCUGGACAAAUGUCUGAACCUUUUUACUGAGGGCGCUAAGAGAAUUAUUGAGAAAAAGUGAAAUGUUAUUUUGUAGAACAAGGAUUAUUUUGUCUAUUUAGUACAUACAUAGAGCCGUAGCUUUGUAAAAAGGGGUCUUUGUAAAAAGAAAUAGUAUGAAUGUGCACUCUUAUUUAUUGAUUAUUGUAAAUGAAGCUAAAAAUGACUAUUUGCAUAAUUUAUACCUGUGGGAAAUUCACUGGAGUAUUUGCUAUUUGACCGUUUUCUAUUAAGGAACAGCAUAGGCCCGGUGCUAUGACGAAUGGUCUCGGAAAAUCACGUGUAUUCUUAAGAAAAUUUUUAAGUGUAAA